UUGGUGUUUACCUGUAUGGUCAGGUAUGAGGCACUAUGCCCCAGUCCAGUCUAGUGUUUACCUGUAUGGUCAGGUAUGAGGCACUAUGCCCCAGUCCAGUCUAGUGUUUACCUGUAUGGUCAGGUAUGAGGCACUAUGCCCCAGUCCAGUCUAGUGUUUACCUGUAUGGUCAGGUAUGAGGCCACUAUGUCCCAGUCCAGUCCAGUCUAGUGUUUACCUGUAUGGUCAGGUAUGAGGCACUAUGCCCCAGUCCAGUCCAGUCUAGUGUUUACCUGUAUGGUCAGGUAUGAGGCACUAUGCCCCAGUCCAGUCCAGUCUAGUGUUUACCUGUAUGGUCAGGUAUGAGGCACUAUGCCCCAGUCCAGUCCAGUCUAGUGUUUACCUGUAUGGUCAGGUAUGAGGCACUAUGCCCCAGUCCAGUCCAGUCUAGUGUUUACCUGUAUGGUCAGGUAUGAGGCACUAUGCCCCAGUCCAGUCUAGUGUUUACCUGUAUGGUCAGGUAUGAGGCACUAUGCCCCAGUCCAGUCCAGUCUAGUGUUUACCUGUAUGGUCAGGUAUGAGGCACUAUGCCCCAGUCCAGUCUAGUGUUUACCUGUAUGGUCAGGUAUGAGGCACUAUGCCCCAGUCCAGUCCAGUCUAGUGUUUACCUGUAUGGUCAGGUAUGAGGCACUAUGCCCCAGUCCAGUCCAGUCUAGUGUUUACCUGUAUGGUCAGGUAUGAGGCACUAUGCCCCAGUCCAGUCUAGUGUUUACCUGUAUGGUCAGGUAUGAGGCACUAUGCCCCAGUCCAGUCCAGUCUAGUGUUUACCUGUAUGGUCAGGUAUUAGGCACUAUGCCCCAGUCCAGUCUAGUGUUUACCUGUAUGGUCAGGUAUGAGGCCACUAUGCCCCAGUCCAGUCCACAGUGACAGAACAGCUUCCUGGUCUUCACCAGCCCCAUGAAA